GUCGAACGGAUUAUUCUUUAUAGCUUGCUAUGAGAACAAUUAGUGGCAGACGGGUGAGUAAUGCAUAGGAAUCUACCUAGUAGUAUAGGAUAGCCACUAGAAAUGGUGGGUAAUACUGUAUAAUCCCUGCGGGGGAAAGAUUUAUCGCUACAUGAUGAGCCUAUGUUAGAUUAGCUAGUUGGUGGGGUAAUGGCCUACCAAGGCAGUGAUCUAUAGCUGGUCUGAGAGGAUGAUCAGCCACACUGGAACUGAGACACGGUCCAGACUCCUACGGGAGGCAGCAGUGGGGAAUAUUGGACAAUGGGCGCAAGCCUGAUCCAGCUAUGCCGCGUGAGUGAGGAAGGCCUUAGGGUUGUAAAACUCUUUCAGUAGGGAAGAUAAUGACGGUACCUAUA
rnacentral:rRNA from 1 species